rnacentral:lncRNA from 1 species
UCGCUUGUCCUUGAGGUUUACUGUGUUUGGCAUCGCAGUUCCGACGGCAGCCGCCGUUUCGCGACCCACGGCGGACUUGCAUAAACACUUUCUAGUUGGAAUCUCACCCUGUGAGGUGGGCAAGGUAGUGAUAUUCCUGUUUGACGCCGACAGAAAUAAGAGAGAUUGACUCUCAGAACCAUGUGGCGGGAUUUUAAAGGAGGAUCUUAACAGUGGCUCGGACAGACCCGUGUUUUCUGCUCCUAGCAUUAACUACGUCGUUAAACCCUUCUGAAUUUAUUUCGUCUGUGAAAUGGGGAAAAGAUAGCCACCUUGCAUAACUGGUGAAGAAUUCGUAAACUGACAGCAGAAUCUAGUAAGAGGACUGGCCCGUGGUCGGCUCUUAAUGGUGUGUAUGGGGCUAUGAACAUUCCCAGGUCUUCUGACCUCUAGUCUGGGACUCUUUCUGCUAAACUAGGGAUUCUUAGAGGUCCAGAGACUUCGGGAGAUCCAGGGGCAUCUUCAAGGGGGUCCCUGAGUUCUAAACUGCAGAGGAACACUCUUAAGAGAGAUAAUAAAUAUUUCCACCACAUCUGUUAUGGAUAAUAUAUAUUUUGUCAUCUAUUUGCCAGAGACUGUUGUAAGUGCUUGUAUACAUUAAGUCACUUAAUCUUUACAGUGAACACUAAGGUACAUCCUAUUAUAAUUCCCAUUUUACAGAGACGUUAAAUACCUAUCUAGCUAAAAAAUGUGGGAGCUGUUUUACAUUCACGCAAUCUAGCUGAUAAAGCCACACACCUUAAUGUUUGUACUAUAUAUUAUUGUGCAAGAGGUGUAUUUGAUAAUGAUUCUUGUGUCACCAUUUACAAGAUGCUUCUGGCUUUUAUUAAACUCUCAAAGGGCAGGAAAAGAAAAAAAAAUACAGAGGAACCUAAACCCUAAAUCAGAGACAGACUACAUGCAGAUAUACAAAUGGAUGAUAAGAAACCAAAGUUGUGGGUACCAUGUUUGCAAUUCCGUUUUAGCUGAGUGCUUUGGACUAUCACGUCCCUCAGUGGCUCCCUGGAGGAAGAAUGAUUGAAUGACAGGAUAGGAAUGGAAUGUAGCCAUCAUCUUAUCUGACCACACAGACACCUCCCAGCAGAUGAAUGCAUCACCUCCUCAUGAUAAUUUUGAAGACUUUCUGAGAAAGUGAUAAUAUUAGCCUAUUACCUCACAACCACAAGGAACACUACA